rnacentral:rRNA from 1 species
GAUGAACGCUAGCUACAGGCUUAACACAUGCAAGUCGAGGGGAAACGACAUUGAAGCUUGCUUCGAUGGUCGUCGACCGGCGCACGGGUGAGUAACGCGUAUCCAACCUGCCUCUGACCAAGGGAUAACCCGUCGAAAGUCGGCCUAAUACCUUAUGCAGUCGUCGGAAGUCAUCUGAUGACGACGAAAGAUUUCAUCGGUGAGAGAUGGGGAUGCGUCUGAUUAGCUUGUUGGCGGGGUAACGGCCCACCAAGGCAACGAUCAGUAGGGGUUCUGAGAGGAAGGUCCCCCACAUUGGAACUGAGACACGGUCCAAACUCCUACGGGAGGCAGCAGUGAGGAAUAUUGGUCAAUGGGCGAGAGCCUGAACCAGCCAAGUAGCGUGCAGGAUGACGGCCCUAUGGGUUGUAAACUGCUUUUAUGCGGGGAUAAAGUGAGGGACGUGUCCUUCAUUGCAGGUACCGCAUGAAUAGGACCGGCUAAUUCCGUG